rnacentral:rRNA from 1 species
GGGAUAACCCCGGGAAACUGAGAAUAAUACUCCAUAGAUCUAGAAUGCUGGAAUGCUUUUAGGUCGAAAACUCCGGUGCCUUAGGAUUGGUCUGCGGCGUAUCAGGUUGUAGUGGGUGUAACGGACCCACUAGCCGAUGACGCGUAUGGGCCUUGAGAGAGGAAGCCCAGAGAUGGACUCUGAGACAUGAGUCCAGACCCUACGGGGCGCAGCAGUCGCGAAAACUUCACAAUGGGGGCAACCCCGAUGAGGGAAUUCCAAGUGCUAGCACUUUUUGUGUUAGCUGUUCUUUUGUCUAAAAAACAAGAGAGGUAAGGGCCGGGUAAGACGGGUGCCAGCCGCCGCGGUAAUACCCGCGGCCCGAGUGGUGGUCGAUAUUAUUGAGCCUAAAACGUUCGUAGCCGGUCUUGUAAAUCCUUGGGUAAAUCGGCCAGCUUAACUGUUCGAAGUCCGGGGAGACUGCAAGACUUGGGAUCGGGAGAGGUCAGAGGUACUUCUGGGGUAGGGGUAAAAUCCUGUAAUCCUAGAAGGACCACCGGUGGCGAAGGCGUCUGACUAGAACGAAUUCGACGGUGAGGAACGAAGCCCUGGGGCGCAAACGGGAUUAGAUACCCCGGUAGUCCAGGGUGUAAACGCUGCGGGCUUGGUGUUGGGGGUCCUUAGUGGGCGCCCAGUGCCGGAGAGAAGUUGUUAAGCCUGCUGCUUGGGGAGUACGUCCGCAAGGAUGAAACUUAAAGGAAUUGGCGGGGGAGCACCGCAACGGGAGGAGCGUGCGGUUCAAUUGGAUUCAACGCCGGACAACUCACCAGGAGCGACGAUUACAUGAAGGCCAGGCUGAUGACCUUGCCUGAUUUUUCGAGAGGUGGUGCAUGGCCGUCGUCAGUUCGUACUGUAAAGCGUUCUCUUAAGUGAGAUAACGAACGAGACCCUCACUAAUAAUUGCUAGCGUUUUCUCUGGAAGGCGCGCACAUUAUUGGGACCGCUGUCGCUAAGACAGAGGAAGGAGAGGUCAACGGUAGGUCCGUAUGCCCCGAAUCUCCUGGGCUACACGCGCGCUACAAAGGACGGGACAAUGGGUUCCGAUAUCGAAAGGUAAAGGCAAUCCCGAAACCCGUUCGUAGUUCGGAUCGAGGGCUGUAACUCGC